rnacentral:sRNA from 1 species
GGUAUAUUCGAAUGAGGAUGAACUUUAUUUGACUAAAAUUAGAUUUCUAAGUGUUAAUUAUUGUUGUAGUACAAAAGUCUAAAUGAUCUAUAACUAUUUAUAUGACUUAAACUUACAUAAAUAAAUAAAAGUAAAGUGGAUUCACCACUUUGGUAAUGAAGUCAUGGAGCACCCUUUCCGUGACCUUUGUUCCAGACAAAAUAGGAAGACCACACAGAGUUGAUGGCUUGAGAUACUUAUUGCAUGCAGCCUUCAGCAUUGCAUACCAGAAUAGCAUUUUCUGCGCCGAAGAGAGUUUGAACAUGGCCUAUGAAAUAAAAGAAUCACAGUUAUAUAAAGAUGUUGUUAAAUUAUUAGGAAAUAAAGAAAAAUCAGAUUUGUAACCUAACAUGUCAAACAAUGGGGGCAAACACAAUGCUGAUAGUCGAGAACACUACACUCCCAGAAAAAACUACUGACUAAACAAAGUUGAUUCUAGCAAAAAAAAAAAAAACCUUCAGUAAAGACAUAAAUAUGAUUGUUAGUUCAAUCAGUUUGAUAUAUAAUUACA